rnacentral:rRNA from 1 species
AUUGAACGCUGGCGGCAGGCCUAACACAUGCAAGUCGAACGAGGGGCGGACGGGUGAGAAAUGUCUGGGAAACUGCCUGAUGGAGGGGGAUAACUACUGGAAACGGUAGCUAAUACCGCAUACCAUCGGAUGUGCCCAGAUGGGAUUAGCUAGUAGGUGGGGUAAAGGCUCACCUAGGCGACGAUCCCUAGCUGGUCUGAGAGGAUGACCAGCCACUCUGGAGCUGAGACCCUGUCCAUCCUCCUACGGUCGGCAGCAGUGGGGAAUAUUGCACAAUGGGCACAAGCCUGAUGCAGCCAUGCCGCGUGGAUGAGGAGGGCCUGCGGGUUUUAAAGUUCUUUCAGCGUGGAGGCGUUACCCGCAGAAGAAGCGCCGGCUAACUCCGUGCCAGCAGCCGCGGUAAUAC